UGGAGGCGCCCUGAGCUUGGGGUGGAUGUGGGGGAGGGUAGAGUUUCCAAGCCCCGCCCCGCCCUCCUUCACUCAGGCAAGAGAGGGGCGUUAGAAAGGACAAGGGGGAGCUGCCUCCCAGCCCUGGGAUCGCUGGGCCACAGGGCAGGCUUCUCCUGCUGAAACAGAAGGCCUCUGGUUUGUUCGGCAGGGAUGGGGGCGGGGCUGCACCCCAGGCAGCGAUGUAUGCUCGGUGUGUUAAGUGUCUUCCUCCAGCUGCUUUAGGACCCAGCACAAGAGCGGAAAUACACACAGGGGAGAGUGCCUGUGCACAAGCAGAUAUCGGUGCAAGCGUCCCUGGGUGGUGGCUUUCUCUAAAGGGGACCCACCUAGCUUUAGUUCUGUGGACCCAGAGCUCAUUAAACUGCCAGCCUUUUCUUGGCAUCAUUUGGGAGUAACAGUGGACUUCCGGUGCUCGUCCAGGAACGGGAAGCGGAACUGGGAACAGGACCAUGUCAGGGCAUCUUUUUGCAGGUGUCCUGCUUAUCUCUUGAGAAGCCUUCCUGUGCCUCAUCUGAGUGAAAGGUUUUCUGGGAACUACUUAGCCCCUCAUUUAUGACAGAAGAGGGCCACUUAUCCUCACAACACCUCCAAGGUGUUCCUUCCUCCUCCUCUUCACCUGCCUCCUCCACCUUGUGCAAGACAUUCAGGUCAGCUCAAGAAGCAGCUGUGCACGCCCCCAGCCUUGUGCAGGAUACUUUAAGGUGUUUGGUUGACAGAGAGAAGGGAGGAUGCCCACCAAGGCUCGUAAAGUCCCCACACUGCUAUGAAUCAUGGACACUCUGCCAGCGAAUGCAGGGAAACCUGGCCAACUCCAGAAGAUGCUGGCUUGACAAGCAGCUGCUGUGGUUCAUCUGAGGUCACUUUUCACUAUUGCAAGGGUCUCCCACCUGCUCCUUCUGGAAAUCAGGGAACAAGUCACUUGCUGGGGGUGGAGCCUCUAGCUCCCCUCUGCUGGAGAAAUAAUAAAUGCCUGGAGCUCU